UAGUAGUAGUACUAGUAUAGUAGUAGCAGUAGCAAUAGUAGUAGUAGGUGGUGGUGGUUAAAGUAGAAUCGCAUUUUCUUCAAUAAAUAUUUCUAUGAAUAAGACUCAUUCAUACAUUUCCUUCACUACUUCUUCACUUUACGAUGCGGUGUAUAGUGUUUGUUUUCUUCUUUUUUCACAUUUCCUUUUUGUCUCAAUGAUCCUUCCUUCUUUUCUUCCUGUAUGUCGGUCUGUAUGUCAUAAUAUCGUGCAUUACGGCUUAUUAUUGCAUGUUUCCUUAUGUUGUAUUUUUCAUUAUUGUUUUCUGUAAUAUUUGUGGUAUAUUUUCUUUUCCUUUAUUCUAUUACGUUGAUUAUUUUCAUUCUUUCUUGAAGUAUAUUUUUUCUCCUUUCUUAAUACCGCCGUGGUGCAGUGGAACCAUGCGUGCUUUGGGGUCCGAAGGGUCUCCAAGCGCACGGGUUCGAAUCCUGUCCACGGUCCGAGUGUAGGUUGGGCUUCCUCACUCGGGAGAACGGUCUCCUAGCGGGUGGGCUUUCAGGUAGGAGGUACCCCAAAAAGUAUCCCCUUUAGCCCAGAAAUUCCCGUGAAAAGCCCACAUGGUAUAAAUAAAAAAAAAAAUAUAUAAGCUUUUCUCUUUCUUUCUUCCAUUUUCACUUUCUUAACACAAAUAUUCGGUGUUUUGCUUUACUCUUUCAUAUUUUCUCUUCACACCAAGAAUAGUAAGAUCUUUUCUCCUUCCUUUCAUUUUUAUAUUUUUUUCGCUUUCUUAACAGCUCUAUUUUACAUGAACACAAAACUAGACACCUUUCUUUCCUUCCCCUUCUUUAUUUUCCACUCUUAUUUUCACUUUCUUAACACAAACCCAUGCUUUUGUUUCUGUUUCCCUUCUAUUUUUUUUUUAAAUCCUCUUUUUUGCUCCCUAACAUUAUUCCUUCUCUUCCCCUUCUUUUUAGCAUCCUCUUUUCUGGGUCCUACCACAAGCAGGCAGGGUUGAGUCCUUUCUCGUCUCCUGGUCACUACUCAGAAGGGUUUUAAGGGCCAAUGGAGCCCAGAGAUCAUGAAAUUGCGGGCACUUUAUUGAGGUGGUGUGGUGGGUGCCGCGGUGGGUCCUCCUCGGAGCUGCUCUGGCCCAGGUGAGGCUAACACCUGUACAGCCUCCCAGCCAGGUGAACGCAGAGGAGUGAGGCACCUUAGUGUGUGUGUGUGUGUGUGUGUGUGUGUGUGUGUGUGUGUGUGUGUGUGUGUGUGUGUGUGUGUGUGAGGGGUUAGUUGUUGAGCGUUUUAUCUUCCCUCUCUCUAUGUUGUACUUUACUUGGUCCCUUCGUUCCGUGUGUGUGUGUGUGUGUGUGUGUGUGUGUGUGUGUGUGUAUGUGUGUGUGUGUGUGUGUGUGUGUGUGUGUGUGUGUGUGUGUGUGUGU